UGAAAUGAAUUGGCUUGCUGUUUUGAACCUAUCAAACAACAAUUUAUCUGGGAAAAUCCCAUCGGGAACACAGCUCCAAAGUUUUGAUGCCUCUGCAUAUGAUGGGAAUCCAUUUCUUUGUGGAAGUCCGCUGCAAAGACUUUGUCCAGACGAAAAAGGAUCAAAAGCCGCAUCGAUUGAGGAAGAGCAAGACGAUUCAUUUUUGUCCCAAGGAUUCUACAUAAGCAUGGGUUUGGGAUUUUUUACAGGAUUUUGGGCCAUAUUCGGUUCAUUGCUUAUAUCCCGUUCUUGGAGGAAUGCUUACUUCACCUUCCUAAAUAAUUUGUAUGAGAGGAUUGUUGUGCUUACACUAAUCAACUUAGCAAGGUGUCGUCGCAGGCUACUUAGAACAUAAUUGUGGAGCCUCAUCGUAGGAAGCUGGAAGCUCGGAAGUGGAAGCAACUAGUGAACAGAUAUAAAUCAUCUUUAUUUUGUGGUUUCACUGAUAAACAACUGUGACUCUCAAUCUCUCAUGUUGUUUUAUUCUGUUACCUACUCUUAAUUUGUGCUGUGAACCUUUUCUUUUCAUCUAUGUGAUGAAUGAAGUUCCUUUGUUUUAUGAAGCA